UACAGAAACAUUUGUCAGCUGUCCCUCCGCUGUCUGAGACCUCGCCAGAGCAUGAGCAGACAGGCCAUCGGCUCAAGGGUGCAUGGGCCCUCUAUGGACACGGCAUGAACACUGCAUACAUAGAUUGCAUCUUAAAAGCUUUUGACUGAAUUUGCUUGCGCCCUGCCUCCUCUGCCCAUGGUUCCAUUCUUCAUCACUGUGGACCAUCUCCUUGACCUUCCUGUAACAUAAUUUGGGGCUCAGCGGGGAUUCCAAGGGAAGGCUGUCGAACUUCUUAUGGUCAUGCAGAUGGAGCCCACCGUGGAGAUCCACCUGAUUCUAUCAUGGGACCUAUACUUUUUAAAUAUUAUACUCCUACAAUGUUUAAAUGGGAAAGAUUGAUAUAUUUGAUAUUCUAGAAAUGAGAACAACUCUGUAUGUUUAAAAGUAUUAUAAAAAGC